UACGUAGGGGGCAAACGUUGCUCGGAAUCAUUGGGCGUAAAGCGCACGUAGGCGGCCUGACAAGUCGGGUGUGAAAGCCCUGGGCUCAACCCAGGAAGUGCACUCGAAACUGCCAGGCUUGAAUAUGGAAGAGGGUCGCGGAAUUCCCGGUGUAGAGGUGAAAUUCGUAGAUAUCCGGAGGAACACCAGCGGCGAAGGCGGCGUCCUGGACUGGUACGUGACGCUCAGGAGCGAAAGCGUGGGGAGCGAUCCGG
rnacentral:rRNA from 1 species